rnacentral:rRNA from 1 species
AUUGAACGCUGGCGGCAGGCCUAACACAUGCAAGUCGAGCGGAUGAAGGGAGCUUGCUCCUGGAUUCAGCGGCGGACGGGUGAGUAAUGCCUAGGAAUCUGCCUGGUAGUGGGGGAUAACGUCCGGAAACGGGCGCUAAUACCGCAUACGUCCUGAGGGAGAAAGUGGGGGAUCUUCGGACCUCACGCUAUCAGAUGAGCCUAGGUCGGAUUAGCUAGUUGGUGGGGUAAAGGCCUACCAAGGCGACGAUCCGUAACUGGUCUGCGAGGAUGAUCAGUCACACUUGAACUGAGACACGGUCCAGACUCCUACGGGAGGCAGCAGUGGGGAAUAUUCGACAAUGGGCGAAAGCCUGAUCCAACCACGCCGCGUGUGUGAAGAAGGUCUUCGGAUUGUAAAACACUUUAAGUUGGGAGGAAGGGCAGUAAGUUAAUACCUUGCUGUUUUGACGUUACCAACAGAAUAAGCACCGGCUAACUUCGUG